rnacentral:lncRNA from 1 species
AAAUAAAUAAACAAAUAAAUAAAUAAACAAAUAAAUAAAUAAAAAAAAAAAAAUAAAUAAAUAAAAAAAUAAACAAAUAAAUAAAUAAAUAAACAAAUAAAUAAGUAAACAAAUAAAUAAACAAAUAAAUAAACAAAUAAGCAAAUAAAUAAAUUUGUUUUUACUAAUUGUCGACUUAAGAUCCUCGUUUUGCCUCAUUUUGCAUCAUUUUUUGUUCAUAUCACAUGUGUAUUUAUUUCGAUUUGUAAAGUUGUGCAUAUAUAUAUGUAUGUAUGUGUGUACGCAUAUAUACGAAUACACAUAACUCACAUUUCUUUGUUCCCUUUUAAUUACCUUCUUAUUUUUUAAAAAUAAUAUUAAAACUAUACACAUAAGUCAUAUAUACACUAGGAAUAAGUAUUAUAUAAGCCCAGUAUAUAUACACAUAUACAUAUAGUUUACACAUCUCGACCAAACACAAUGGAGUAUAACAACGUGGGAGACAAAAUUUUUGAACUGAAUUCAAUCAGUCGCGAGAAGUUAGAAUUAGUGGAAGCCUUUUAUGAUAAAAUGAAAGAUAUAACGAAUGCAAAUGCAUUAUAUAUAUAUGCAUUGCAAAUAUUUAAAAUAUGUAAUAUACAUAAUGAAUUACCUCGUGUAGUUGUAUUUGGACAACAGUCCAUGGGUAAAACUACCCUCUUAGAUUUUAUUAUGGGUGGUCCUAUGGGUUAUACCAGUUCUGAUACAGGAACAAAACAGCCAAUAGUUAUUAUAUUAAAACCUAGUGAUACUAAUAAAAUAGAAUGUUAUUUAAAUAAAAAAAAAGUUAGUAUAGAUGAUUUACAUGAAAAAAUGAAAGCAAUUAUGGUAAAUUUAAAUGAAUCUAUAAUAUCAAAAGAGUUAGAAGUGGAAAUAUCCAUACCUGGAGGAAUUUAUGCUACUUUUGUAGAUCUGCCAGGAAUAAAAGAUGAUUCUAAAGCUGGGUCUGAAUUAACUAGAAAAAUUGUUCGAAAUUAUGUUCAGAAUUUUCCAAAUGAUAUUUAUAUUUUAGUAAAAAAAGCAUCAGAUGACCCUGCCAAUUGGCCUUACAACUUGAAGGAGUUUAUAAUGAAACCAAAACCAAUAGGUCUUGGCUUACAAACAAAACAGUGCAUUGUUGUUGGUACCAGAGCACUCGAAUUUUUGAACAAUGAGUUAAGUACCAUCAAGACUUUGUCGGAGUUGUAUAACCGAGUUAAAAAAAGAGGUAUAACUGAUAACAAUGACAAUAUUUUGUCGUUAUAUUUAUUAGAGCUAUUUACCAUACCCAUUGAACAAAAAGAGAAAAAUGAUUUUAUAGCAAAUAGAAUAAGUAUGUAUUCAAAAAUAUUAAAUGGUAGAAAAAAUGUGUUAGAUUUAUUAUUAAAUAAGUUUGAAAAUGAUUGUAAUGAUUCGAUAAAAAAAGAAUUGCUUGAUUGUUUUGACGUGGAAAAAUUUAAAAAAGAAGUUAAUAGUAAAUUUAUGAAUAUAUUAAUACAACAAUUAAGAAAAGUAGAAAUUAAAUUAGAAAAAAAAAAAGCUAAAUCAGAGUUUUAUAGUAAAAAAUUAGAAGAGUUAUAUAAUAAAGGAAAUAUUUUAAGUAUAAGAGAACAAGUAAAAUUAUAUAUCCGUGAACUUGUUAAUAUUAUAUCUAAUUUAUUAACAGGAAAUUAUCCAAUUUUGAAUUUACCAAAUAAUGGAGAAGAUUUUUUAAAAAAAUAUGGUGGAACAUUAUUAGAAAAUUUAAAAGAUGGACAUGAGCUAGCUAUUGAGUUGUUUGUAAAAAAAAAUACAUAUGAUGAAAAUUUUUUAAAUUAUUUAAAUGAAUGUUUAACUAAAUAUUCAAAUGAACAUGAAAUGAAUAAACCCAUGUCAUCUGAUUUUAAUUAUAAUUUAAAUGAUGGGUCAGGAAAUAAAUAUACAAACGGGAUGAAUGGAAGUAGUAGUAGUAGUAGUAGUAGUAGUAUUAGUAGUAGUAAUCGUAGUAGUAAUCGUAGUAGUAACAUUAACAUGGGAAGUGGUAGUACUGUUAAUAAUAUUCCACAUAUUGGAGGUGGACAUAUAGGAUAUGUAAAUAAUGUUAGUCCUACAAAUACUGUGGGUAAUAUUAGUAGUAUGAACAACGUAGUCGUUAACAGUAGUAGUAGUAGUGGAGGUAGCAAUAACUUGAUGAAUAAUAACAAAAUGUUAAAUAAUAACAUUCUACUAAAUAACAAUCAUAUGAUAAAUAAUAACAACCACAUGAUAAAUAAUAGCAAAAUAAAAAAGAUAAAAAAAAAAGAAAAAUUAAAUAACAAAAUGAACAAACGGAUUGAUAGUUAUUUUAACAAUUUUAAUCACACAGCAACAACAGCGUCAGCAAUUUUAAUUCUGUAGUAUUAUAAUAUCUAAAAAAAAAAAUGUAAACAGUGGUUUAACAGAAGGAAAACCUGUACGUUUUGUUUUAGUAAAAGAAGAAAGUAACAUGUUUGGUAUAAUCAAAAAUAAUACUGUAAUUGAUCCUAAUAGUAAAAAUAUUUUAGUUAAUUUUUUUUUUAGAAAUAAUAAUACUACAGAAGAACAAGUACAAACAAAAUCGGUUGAAAAGGAAAGACUUACAGCAAUCCAAUCAGUAGAAACAUUAAAUGCUGAAAGUUCAUUUUUGAAUGGUUUACAAGUUUGGUAUAAAAUGGUAAGAGCUGAUGGAUGGGUAGGAUUUGACGAAGCUGAAAUAAUUAAAGUGUUUAAUAACAAUAGUAAAGUCAAAGACGUUUUAAUACGUAAUAUAUCAAAGAAUAGUGAAGUCGUAUCUAUUAAAAUUAAUGAUUUAUAUAUAGAUUAUAUACAAGAUAUAAAUAAGGAAACUAUGGAUGGGUUAAAAACGAAGGACUUGUUAAAAAAUGUGAAUGGUCAAUAUGAUGAUGAAGAAGAUGAGGAGGAAGAGGAAGAUGAUCAAGACGAAGAGAAUGAAAGUGAAUAUGAUGAAGAUGAAGAUGAAGAUGAUGAAGAUGAUGAUGAUGAAGAUAUUGAUGAUGAUGAUGAUAAUGUAUUAAAAAAAAUAGCAGGACCACAUACAGAUUUAAAAAUAUUAAACCAAUUAGCUAUUACAUAUAUAUGUAAAUGGUUAAAAUAUAACAUAGCUAAAAUUGAACCUGAAAAAGAUUUUUCAAAUGAAGUUUUAUUACAAAUGAUGAGAAGUAUUCAUAACAUAGUGGACCAAAGUGAUUGGAAACCAUUAGUAGUUGAUUUACUUCAAGCAAACAUUAGUGGUAAUAUUUUAUAUUUAACAAAAUUAGCUACCUGUUCAGCUGCUGUUGCAUUAAAUAGAGUAUUUAAAGCU